rnacentral:misc_RNA from 1 species
GUGAGUUUUAGCAACAAUUUCCACCAAAGAAAGACAGAAAUAGAGCUCUGAACCUCUCCUUUAAAGCCAAAGCUUGCUAGGUAAGUACGAAUGUCGUCUGAAUGGCUGUACUUUGAUGUCGAUCAGUCGCCGGGACGGUUAAGAGCGGCAAUCCGGUGGAGAACUCGCCCGGUAGCGUGCAAGUUCUGCCUAUAGAUGGUGC